rnacentral:tRNA from 1 species
GCGGAAUAGCUCAGUUGGGAGAGCGUUAGACUAUAGAUCCCUGGUUCGAUCCCAGGAUUCAGCA